UACGUAGGUGGCGAGCGUUGUCCGGAUUUACUGGGCGUAAAGAGCUCGUAGGUGGUUUGUCACGUCGUCUGUGAAAUUCCGGGGCUUAACCUCGGGCGUGCAGGCGAUACGGGCAAUACUUGAGUGCUGUAGGGGAGACUGGAAUUCCUGGUAUAGCGGUGAAAUGCGCAGAUAUCAGGAGGAACACCAAUGGCGAAGGCAGGUCUCUGGGCAGUUACUGACGCUGAGGAGCGAAAGCAUGGGUAGCGAACAGGAUUAGA
rnacentral:rRNA from 1 species